UGUUUGAUGUUCUAACGUGGACCCGUAAUCCGGGUUGCGGACAGUGUCUGGUGGGUAGUUUGACUGGGGCGGUCUCCUCCUAAAGAGUAACGGAGGAGCACGAAGGUUGGCUAAUCCUGGUCGGACAUCAGGAGGUUAGUGCAAUGGCAUAAGCCAGCUUGACUGCGAGCGUGACGGCGCGAGCAGGUGCGAAAGCAGGUCAUAGUGAUCCGGUGGUUCUGAAUGGAAGGGCCAUCGCUCAACGGAUAAAAGGUACUCCGGGGAUAACAGGCUGAUACCGCCCAAGAGUUCAUAUCGACGGCGGUGUUUGGCACCUCGAUGUCGGCUCAUCACAUCCUGGGGCUGAAGUAGGUCCCAAGGGUAUGGCUGUUCGCCAUUUAAAGUGGUACGCGAGCUGGGUUUAGAACGUCGUGAGACAGUUCGGUCCCUAUCUGCCGUGGGCGCUGGAGAACUGAGGGGGGCUGCUCCUAGUACGAGAGGACCGGAGUGGACGCAUCACUGGUGUUCGGGUUGUCAUGCCAAUGGCACUGCCCGGUAGCUAAAUGCGGAAGAGAUAAGUGCUGAAAGCAUCUAAGCACGAAACUUGCCCCGAGAUGAGUUCUCCCUGAGACUUUAGGUCUCCUGAAGGAACGUUGAAGACGACGACGUUGAUAGGCCGGGUGUGUAAGCGCAGCGAUGCGUUGAGCUAACCGGUACUAAUGAACCGUGAGGCUUAACCUUACA
rnacentral:rRNA from 1 species